GAUGAACGCUGGCGGCGUGCCUAAUACAUGCAAGUAGAACGCUGAAGGACGGAGCUUGCUCUUUCCGGAUGAGUUGCGAACGGGUGAGUAACGCGUAGGUACCCUGCCUGGUAGCGGGGGAUAACUAUUGGAAACGAUAGCUAAUACCGCAUAACAGUAGAUGUUGCAUGAUAUCUACUUAAAAGGUGCAAAUGCACCACUACCAGAUGGACCUGCGUUGUAUUAGCUAGUUGGUGAGGUAACGGCUCACCAAGGCGACGAUCCAUAGCCGACCUGAGCGGGUGAUCGGCCACACUGGGACGGAGACACGGCCCAGACUCCUACGGGAGGCAGCAGUAGGGAAUCUUCGGCAAUGGACGGAAGUCUGACCGAGCAACGCCGCGUGAGUGAAGAAGGGUUUCGGAUCGUAAAGCUCUGUUGUAAGAGAAGAACGAGUGUGAGAGUGGAAAGUUCACACUGUGACGGUAUCUUACCAGAAAGGGACGGCUAACUACGUG
rnacentral:rRNA from 1 species